GACGAACGCUGGCGGCGUGCCUAAUACAUGCAAGUAGAACGCUGAAGGAGGAGCUUGCUUCUCUGGAUGAGUUGCGAACGGGUGAGUAACGCGUAGGUAACCUGCCUGGUAGCGGGGGAUAACUAUUGGAAACGAUAGCUAAUACCGCAUAAUAGCAGUUGUUGCAUGACAACUGUUUGAAAGGUGCAAAUGCAUCACUACCAGAUGGACCUGCGUUGUAUUAGCUAGUUGGUGGGGUAAAGGCUCACCAAGGCGACGAUACAUAGCCGACCUGAGAGGGUGAUCGGCCACACUGGGACUGAGACACGGCCCAGACUCCUACGGGAGGCAGCAGUAGGGAAUCUUCGGCAAUGGACGGAAGUCUGACCGAGCAACGCCGCGUGAGUGAAGAAGGUUUUCGGAUCGUAAAGCUCUGUUGUAAGAGAAGAACGAGUGUGAGAGUGGAAAGUUCACACUGUGACGGUAGCUUACCAGAAAGGGACGGCUAACUACGUG
rnacentral:rRNA from 1 species